rnacentral:rRNA from 1 species
GGCGGCGUGCUUAACACAUGCAAGUACGUUAGACUUUCGGGUUAGUGGCGGACGGGUGAGUAACGCGUGAGAAUCUGCCCUCAGGAGGGGGAUAACAGUUGGAAACAGCUGCUAAUACCCCAUAUGCCGAGAGGUGAAACGAAUUUUGCCUGGGGAUGAGCUCGCGUCUGAUUAGCUUGUUGGUGGGGUAAAAGCCUACCAAGGCUUCGAUCAGUAGCUGGUCUGAGAGGACGAUCAGCCACACUGGGACUGAGAUACGGCCCAGACUCCUACGGGAGGCAGCUGUGGGGAUUUU